AGUUUUUUCUACUCUCAAACCGACCUGGCUGCCCUUAUCAAUUUGGUCAGGUGCCUUUAGAAACUUCGGUCUUAUCUACCCAGUCGAGAGGAUAAACUCUCAUUCUUUUUCUUCUUUAUCUUUCCUCCUCUUUCUUUUCUUCUCCUCCUUCUCUGUUCGUGCCUGCUGAUGAGAAAUUGUGAAUCAAAUUCAAGAUUUUGAGAUCGUAAUAAGAAGGGAAAUAUCAAGGAUCGAUUUUAAGUGGUGAAGAUAGUUCUGUGAUUGAAUUAAAUUCAGAAGAAAUAAUGUUCAGAGAGAUUCAGUGAGUUAGGGUUUUUGGAUUGAAGUUAAAGUCACCUGGAAGAUGAAUUUGAUGUUUUAGGAAGGAGAUAUAAGACUGGCUGAUGUUGUUUUGAUGAGGUGAACCAGUUCUGCUGAAGAAUCGAGUUUCAAUUAAGGGUGAAUAAGAAAGAAUUACAGGAGGGGUUUACUAGAUUGGAAGAUCGAUUGAUGCUUUGAGUUUUAAUUAGAGAAUAGAAGAUUUGGGAAUUGAGUUAGGAUUUUGUUAAGAACUGAUAUUGAUGGAUGAACUGAAUUGAGGGUUUUGGAGAAUGAUUGGAGUUAAGUUUGAUAUGAAUAAGGAUUCAAGGUUAAGGAAUAACUUGAGAGUGAUUUUAGGGUUUCGGUGUUGAGGAUUGAGAAUUGAAGUGGAGUCUACUGUGAAUCAAAGAUGGUGAUGAAGAUUGAUGAAUACUGGUUGAGUGGAAGUGGUAUACUGAGUUGAAGUGAAGAAGAACUUGAAUUCGAUUGCCUGGGUAUUACUAAAUUGAGAGGGAAUGAGUCUUGCCAGUGGGUUGAGGCUGUGGUGUUACAGUGGGAAUUAGAAUCAAGAGUGUUGCUUGACUGGUUGUAUUGGUUUGAAUCUGAUGAAUUACAAUUGCAAGGAUGUGAAGUUGGAGGUACUGUUGGUGCUGAAUUAUGUAGGUGGUUGUGUUGUGUUGUGGUGGUGGAUAUGAUUGUUGCAGAACAAGAAUACUACUCUGAUUAUAAUUAGAGUUGCAAGUGGUGGUGGUCUGGUAAGGUGUAGAGUUGGAGAUGGCAGUAAAUAAAUGUACAAGAAUGUAAUAGUUUGAGUUGAGUGUUCGGUAGUCUGUUAACUGAGUUUCAGUUGAAGUUGAUUUUACUGAUUGAGAUUCAGUUUGGUCGUACAAGGUUGUUGGUGUUGAAAUGAGAAGUGAAUUGGGUUUGGUGACUGAAAUGGAUAUUGCAGAUUGAACCACUGUGUGUGUUGCAGAUAAAGAAGUUGUUUACAUUAGAGUUGAACUGUUGGAACUAGCGUUAGUGGUAGUAAAUGAAUGAACUGUAAGUGGUAGAAUGAAUGUCUUAGUUUGGUGGGUUCAGUGAAAGCUUGCUUAGAGCUGCAAUUGCAGGUAAUCUGUAUUUGAAUUUAAAAUGAGUUAUGAAGUUACUUUUAAAUGAAUGAUUUGAUGUUUAUGUUUA